GCUGAGACUUCCUCCAGUGCCUGAGGUGUAUGGAUCAGAUUCAUAAAUAUAUCUAUAUCUAAUUGUUUUUGCAGUUAAUUGCAGCUGAAGCUCUGCACAGAACAGCAGAGCACAGCCCUUGGUGGUGUUUAAAUGCCUGACACUGCUCCAGUUUCUGCUUCAUCACAUUAAGUUCCUGACGACAUCCUGGAGGCUUUUCUCCAAAGCAAGGUCUGAUGCUGGACUGCUCUGGAGGGUACAUCUCAUCCUGUCUUUAUGGAGUCCAUACAGCAGCAGAAUUGGCUUUAGGCUUUAACCACGUUUCUGGGGCUCUUUGAGGGUCUCCCUUCCUCCCUCCUCACCAAACUCUCUCCUGAAACUGAAGGCCAAAGUGAUCUGGAAGGGAACCAGCAGAUCGUGCCUGGUCUUUGCAGUCACAGCAGGAGCCUACAAUUUGUCCUACGAAACCACCAGCACCAGGACUGAUCUGUGCCAAGCAGAGUAGAAGUCUGAAG
ensembl:lncRNA